UAACCAAAUAUGGUGUACUAUAGAUUAUACCAAGAGGUCAAUUCUUAUCUCUUCUAUUCCCAUCAUAGAUAGGUUUAUCACAUUUCAAAAGAACUGGGAUAUAUGGAAACUAGCUCUAACUUAUUCCAAUACACCUGUUAUAACUUGUGCUGUUUGGUUCUAUUAACAUCGGUAAUUCUUCCAAAGGAGGAUAUAAUAUUAGCUGUGUUAAUUGUAUUUUUAGCAGUUGUAUGUUCCCUUCUGCAGGAAUGCAAUCUGUGCUUAUACUAAAGCAACCCAUAUAUGUUAUGGUGCCUGUACAUCUGAGAGAACCUUGGUAUGAAGAUACUGGAGUACAGGCAUGGGUGGAACUCUCUAAAGCCUUGCAGAGAAGGAGACGCUUUCUUGGGUGGCUAAUAGUAAGUUUACUUGCCUCGGCUGCUCUGUCUGCUACCGCGGCUACUGCCGGUCUUGCUCUUUCACAGAGUAUUAAUCAUGCUCACUUUGCUAAUCGGUUAUCUCAAAAUACCAGUCUUGCUUUAUCUUUACAAAGUCACAUAGAUUUACAGAUUAGUAACAAGUUAGAUGAAUUUAAAAACGCAAUUUUGGGGAUUGGAGAUCAGAUGGCAGCAUUAAAAUUGAGGAUGCGUUUAGCUUGUCAUGCAACGUAUACAUGGAUUUGUGUUACUCCUUAAAAGUACAAUGACUGUAUUUGGGAAUGGGAAAAAGUAAAAAUGCAUCUGCUGAGUGUUUGGUCAGAUAAUAAUAUUAGCCUUGAUCUUAAGAAAUUAAAUGCUGAAAUUCAGGAUAUACAAAAUGCACAUCUUGAUUUUAUUUCACCAGAAGGUGUAAUUCAAACUUUACUGGAUCAUUUAAAGUGGUUAAACCCUCAGUCUUGGAUUACUGGAAGGUUGUCAGGAUUUAUUACCCUGGCCAUAAUUUGCCUAUUGUUGAUAAUAAUCUUCUCAUGUCUGUUUCAUAUCCUCAUGCAACAGUAUACUACUCUAGGCACUAAACUACAUGGAAUUAUUUUGCAGCAAAAGUUAAAAAAUAAAAAAGGGGGACCUGUGGGAAGCAGUCAGCCUUGAGAGCAGGCUACAGACAUGCCA